GUAGGUGGCAAGCGUUGUCCGGAUUUACUGGGCGUAAAGCGCGCGCAGGUGGCCCGCCAAGUCUGGGGUGAAAUCUCCCGGCUCAACCGGGAUAGGUCUCUGGAAACUGACAGGCUUGAGGAGAGCAGAGGAGAGUGGAAUUUCCGGUGUAGCGGUGAUAUGCGUAGAUAUCGGAAGGAACACCAGUGGCGAAGGCGGCUCUCUGGGCUCUUCCUGACGCUGAGGCGCGAAAGCGUGGGGGAGCGAACCGGAUUAGAUACCCGGGUAGUCCACGCUGUAAACGUUGGGCACUAGGUGUGGGAGGUAUUGACCCCCCUUCCGUGCCGAAGUUAACGCAUUAAGUGCCCCGCCUGGGGGAGUACGGCCGCAAGGCUA
rnacentral:rRNA from 1 species